rnacentral:rRNA from 1 species
AGGUCAGCCUGCCCAGUGACAAUUUUAACGGCCGCGGUAUCCUAACCGUGCAAAGGUAGCGUAAUCACUUGUUUCUUAAUUAGAGACCUGUAUGAAUGGCAUCACGAGAGUCACACUGUCUCCUUUUUCAAGUCAGUGAAACUAAUCUUUCUGUGAAAAAGCAGAAAUUUUUAAACAAGACGAGAAGACCCUUUGGAGCUUAAGACCAAUAAAAUUUUAUGCUCUUACUUAACAUACACCUUGCAAUACCAAAUUUUAACAGUCUUUAGUUGGGGCAACUACGGAGUCAAAAUGACCCUCCAAGAUGAAACGGAAUUUUCCUAAACUAAAAGCCACAGCCUUCAGGAUGAUUAAAAUGACAUUAUUAGACCC